rnacentral:rRNA from 1 species
GAUGAACGCUGGCGGCGUGCCUAAUACAUGCAAGUCGAGCGAACAGACGAGGAGCUUGCUCCUCUGACGUUAGCGGCGGACGGGUGAGUAACACGUGGAUAACCUACCUAUAAGACUGGGAUAACUUCGGGAAACCGGAGCUAAUACCGGAUAAUAUAUUGAACCGCAUGGUUCAAUAGUGAAAGACGGUUUUGCUGUCACUUAUGGAAGGAUCCGCGCCGCAUUAGCUAGUUGGUAAGGUAACGGCUUACCAAGGCGACGAUGCGUAGCCGACCUGAGAGGGUGAUCGGCCACACUGGAACUGAGACACGGUCCAGACUCCUACGGGAGGCAGCAGUAGGGAAUCUUCCGCAAUGGGCGAAAGCCUGACGGAGCAACGCCGCGUGAGUGAUGAAGGUCUUCGGAUCGUAAAACUCUGUUAUUAGGGAAGAACAAAUGUGUAAGUAACUAUGCACGUCUUGACGGUACCUAAUCAGAAAGCCACGGCUAACUACGUG